rnacentral:rRNA from 1 species
GACGUAGGGGGCAAGCGUUGUUCGGAAUUAUUGGGCGUAAAGCGCUCGUAGGCGGGACUGGAAGUCCGUGUUGAAAGACCUCGGCUCAACUGAGGGACCGGCUCGGAUACUCUAGUUCUUGAGGCAAUCAGAGGGUGAUGGAAUUCCCGGUGUAGCGGUGAAAUGCGCAGAUAUCGGGAGGAACACCGGUGGCGAAGGCGGGUCUCUGGGCAGUAACUGACGCUGAGGAGCGAAAGCGUGGGGAGCGAACAGG